rnacentral:tRNA from 1 species
UAGGAAAUGGUGUAGUGGAAGCACUAAGAGUUUCGAUCUCUUCAGGCGGGGUUCAUUAGCAAAGGAAGGAU